rnacentral:rRNA from 1 species
UACGUAGGGGGCAAGCGUUGUCCGGAAUCAUUGGGCGUAAAGCGCGUGUAGGCGGUUCGAUAAGUCUGCUGUGAAAGUCCAGGGCUCAACCCUGGGAUGCCGGUGGAUACUGUCGAGCUAGAGUACGGAAGAGGCGAGUGGAAUUCCCGGUGUAGCGGUGAAAUGCGCAGAUAUCGGGAGGAACACCAAUUGCGAAGGCAGCUCGCUGGGACGUCACUGACGCUGAGACGCGAAAGCGUGGGGAGCAACAGGG